CCCCCAGGGAAAUGCAGAGCCGGGAAGUUGGCAAGCUAUGUCUCCUGCUCUCGUGGAUCUCACAGUGCUGACGUGGAAACAGGACUACCUGGAGGAAAGAGAGGACCGCAUGGAUGACAAAUGUCCCCUCCUGUAUAAGAUGAGGAAACCUAACUUCAGAGACUCAAAGGCAACAUCUAUUUGUGGGUUGCCAAGGGAUGCACACCAGCCCAGGCUGCUUGCCCGUGAUGCCCUUUUCUCCUUCCCUACGCUGGCUCAGCUAAGCGGAGAGGGAAACCCUCAGUAAUCGUGAGUCCCGGUCCUGGAAGCCAGCUGCCUACAGAGCUGUGCAGAGUUCCAGCUUGGUAAAUAUUUGCCCCGUGACUGAGGCAGAGAGAGUGCUCCUUUCUUGGUCCUGGGCAGUUCUUGGCAGUUCACACACACUGUUUACCUUUCCUCCCACAUUCCCCCCUGAGGAAUCAUCGCCACCCCCCUCCCCUCCCCUUCAGUUUGCUCAACAGAAAACAAGGCAGAGCGGUAUGAAGCAAAGUGCCUGGCAUAUAUAAAACCUGUCUCCAAUCUGUCCCGUGUGGCCUCACAUAGCCUUCCAGACAGCGAGGAUUCUAGGGCAGAAAAAUACCUUCCGUUAGGCGGACAUAACAGGAAUGGGUGUCUUGGGUUCCCAAGAGGAAAGUAUUUUGGAUUUCCUGGGGGAAGCUGCCAUCCCGGGGACUGAAAGCGAAUCAUUAGGAAGUUCGGGAGCUGGGAAGCUGGGAGGCCUGCGGCCAUCCUGCUGAGAUGGAAUCCUGUUGCUCUGGGAACUUGGUUAAGCUGUGUCCUGGUUGGUUUGCAGCUGGUGGUGCCAUAUAGAGAGCUCAAGACCUCCACCCCUUUCCAGCCGCUGACUCCAUGAUGUUGAUGAGCCGUGAUUGUUUACAUGGAGAGCUUUGUCACCCUGCUUUCUCUAUGAAAUUCUGGCGCGGCUCCUUAUUUCCUAACCAAGGCCCUAGGCCUCUCUUUUUAGCAUGCUGGCUGGGUGUGACACGUUCCCCUAGGGGUCAGCUUUUUAUUUUAUUGCCAUUUGAAGAGUAUCUGAGCAUGUGUUUAGAAUUUACAUCUCAGUAAUAGAUUUCUGGAUGGAAACAGCGUGGAUUAUUACUUACAUUUGGUAAAGUCCCCUUGGAUAAGAAGAACCUGCUGGCAUCAUAUUAAUGUUCCUUGCUGUCACUUGACAAUCUGAGUUGGUUUUGUAUACGAACCUGGGGCUCAUUGGAUUGAAUUUAGGAAACUGGUAAAACAAAUUUGUCUUCAGUGGGUUUGAAUAAUCAUUCAAAUUAAUAACACGCACACACAGGCACACAGGCUGAAAGGUUAAUUUAUCAUCGCUUUCAGUCCUGUUUAUUCAGAACUCCUUCAUCAUGGGCAUAAGCAGCCUUUAUUAAAGAUGAUGAAUCCAAUUUCCAAAUGAGCUGUAAAUGCCUUUCUAUUGAGACAUUCCUUGAUUUGUUGUUUUCUUGAAUAAAACAUGGUUUUGCCCUGUGGGUUAUGGAGCCCAUAUAUUAAUAUUGGGAAAUUACUCUGUUGUGCCUGGCAUCUGCGAUGCGCAAUGUUGAAUUUGUUCUCUGAUCUGUCUUCCCUCUCUUUAAUAAACACUGAGACAGAAAGCAUA